ensembl:lncRNA
CCCCAGUUUACUACCGGUUACCUUGUUACUGGCCUAACCACAUGUGGCCAACUUAUGCCUCCAUUCAUAUUUUGAAGUCCCAACCCCCAUUAUAUCAGAAUGUGUGACUGUGUUUGGAGAUAAAGAGGCAACUAAGUAAAACCAAGACCUUUAGGGUGAAUCCAAAUCCAGUAUGCCUGCAUUGAUUUCAGAACUGUCUGGAGCAAUAUACACCUUCCCAGUGCAGGAGCUAGAGUGGAUGAGUCUGGGGCCAGAAGAGGAAGAUUUUCUGCAGUGACUCAAGGCAGAGCUGGCAUAUUAAGUACUGCUUAAUAUUGCUGUUCAUUUGUUUGCAAGGUAUUGAAGUGACUUGUACAAAGCAGAUUUAUUAGGAUAUUCAUAGAAUUGAUAGGGUAAAAAUGGCAUAAGCUGGGGCCACCAAGGGAUCUAGGAAACAGAAAUGAAUGUAAACUGCCACUGUAAGAAUGGAUGAACACCAGUGGAUUUCUCUGCUCUUAGGACACACUGCUCACGAUUUCAAAGUCAAGGAGAGUUUCCUUUUGUCUUGAUUUAGGGUAGGACCUGAUUUAUAGUCCCAGCGAGACCACAUCGUGGGGAGAGUAAUGCUUCAAAGAAAAAUCUUGCUCUUCCCCCAGGAAGAGUCAUUACAUAUAUUAGUCCAAAUGGUAGUGGCAAGGACAGGCACCCACUUAAGGCAGGAAAGGGAGAGUGCUGUUGAGAGUCCCAGAAGACAAAGGAUUUAAUUGUUGAUUGGGAAACGCGUAUAUUCAACAUCAAACCUGUCUUUUCUCAAAGAAUGUGUUCCCUCUUCCUGUUUCCCUGAUUCAUUCAUUAAACAAGUAUUGGCUGGCUGGCUGCCUGUCCUGUUACAUGCAAAUUUCGAAUCCAGGACAACCAGCCUCAAAACCUAAGUAGUGCAAUGCAUCCCUUUGCUCUCAUAUUAGGUUACUUAUUAAGUUCUGUCAAUUACUUGUGCAUAGACAUGGACUUACACGUUAUAUGGAUAAGUAAUUUCUAAACAUGCUUUGACCAUGGAACUUGAAUGACCA